UCCUGAGUAGCUCAAUGGUAGAGCGGGUGGCUGUUAACCACUAGGUUGGGGGUUCAAGUCCCUCCUCAGGAG
rnacentral:tRNA from 1 species